rnacentral:rRNA from 1 species
UAGGGAAUCUUCCGCAAUGGGCGAAAGCUUGACGGAGCAACGCCGCGUGAGUGAUGAAGGUCUUCGGAUCGUAAAACUCUGUUAUUAGGGAAGAACAAAUGUGUAAGUAACUAUGCACGUCUUGACGGUACCUAAUCAGAAAGCCACGGCUAACUACGUGCCAGCAGCCGCGGUAAUACGUAGGUGGCAAGCGUUAUCCGGAAUUAUUGGGCGUAAAGCGAGCGCAGGCGGUUAGAUAAGUCUGAAGUUAAAGGCAGUGGCUCAACCAUUGUAGGCAUUGGAAACUGUUUAACUUGAGUGCAGAAGGGGAGGGUGGAAUUCCAUGUGUAGCGGUGAAAUGCGUAGAUAUAUGGAGGAACACCGGUGGCGAAAGCGGCUCUCUGGUCUGUAACUGACGCUGAGGCUCGAAAGCGUGGGGAGCGAACAGG